AUCUUGAAUGUCAAAACGACUCUCGGCAACGGAUAUCUCGGCUCUCGCAUCGAUGAAGAACGUAGCGAAAUGCGAUACUUGGUGUGAAUUGCAGAAUCCCGUGAACCAUCGAGUCUUUGAACGCAAGUUGCGCCCGAAGCCUUCGGGCCGAGGGCACGCCUGCCUGGGCGUCACGCAUC
rnacentral:rRNA from 4 species